UUCGCAUGAGCUAUCUCUGUCCAGGCUUUUUGCUGCCUUAUUCACCAGGCAGAAUGUUCCUUUGAUUUGAACUCUGAUAUUUGAUUAAGGGUCACUUCGAUGACAAAUCUAGCCAUUUCAGCAGAAAUCACCAGUGAGAAAAACACUUUUCCAAUGAUACACUGUUUCACUACAACCCCUUAACCCAUCGCUCCCCCACAUGGGGAUUAAUUUUAAACAGUAACAAUAAUGUAAUUAUGCAACAUUUAAACACAAUAAGAUACCCUAAGGGGCUGCACAGAAAUAUUAUAAAACAAAAUUUGAAUCCAAUUCCCACAGCAGAUGACCUAAAGCUUGAUCAAAAAGGUAGAGUUGAAAGAACGUGUGGAAGGAAGGUAGAGAAGGGGGGAGGUUGAAAGGUUUUGAGAAGGAAUUCAAGAAGGGCAUAAGUAACUGAAAUUAAGGCCACCAAACCUGGGGUAAUCAAAAUUGGGUAUGCCAGAAAUAAAGGAGAAUAGAUAUCUCAAAGUGUUGUGGAAACUGGAUGAGAUUGCAGUGAUAGGGACAUAUGGGACAUGGGAGUAAUUUGAAACAAAGACGAGAAUUUGUAAACCUAGUUAUAGCUUGACUGGGACCCAAUAUAACUCAACGAGCAGAGGGAUAACAGGUGAACAAAACUUGAUGUGUGGAAGGAUACAUGCAGCAGAGUUUUACACAUUUCCAAAUUUGUGGAGGAUGGCAUUUUUGAAGACCAACCAGUUAUGGGUUGGACUAGUCAAGUCUAUACGUACAAAAGUAUGGGAGGGAGAUGAGGCAGGAGUGAGUCAGUCUUUUCUAUUCAGAUCUUAAGUUGCAUCUUGAGUUGCAUCCAUUUGUUGUGGAAGCUCAUCUCAGAUGACACCAAUGUUUCAAGCAGUCAUGUUCUGCCUCAUGCAGCGGUCAUGAGACAAAAUGGAAUGGUUGGCUAGAAAACUGAGUUUGUAGUGUGUGUUGUAGAUAUUGGCAAUGAAACGAAGAGAAUUUGAAUUGGAUCUCUGGUGACACACUGAGAGAAGUGCGCAUUGAUCCUUAGUGAUCAAGAGAGUGUGUAAUAUUGAUUGUAAACCAGCUGGUGAGGUUCGAAUUUGAUUUUGAUUUUGUCACGUGUACUCAAGUACAAAAAUACAGGAGUACAGUGAAAAUUGUAUAAUGUCGUCACACAAGGCACUACCUUAGGUACCGAAUCAUAAGAACAAGGUAGAAAACAGAGCAAAAUUAAAAGUUAAACAUUGUGUUAAUUACAGUAUAGCACAAAACACACAAAGUAAAGUUAAAACUUACACACUGCGGACGUUCUUGGUUUAAAGCAGAGAAUACAGAAAUAAAGCUGAAAGUGCAAAAGUUAGUCUUUCUUAAGUGGUCAGUCAUGAUAGGACUACAUUUUGAGGAACCACCUUGAGACCAGAAGUCCAUGCUGAGGCCAUGCUGGGCCAGGAGGUCGUCACGCUGGGUCUGCACUGAGUCCAUGGCUGGGAGAAAAAAGAAGAGCGAAGAAGGAAAUAAGACACAAAAGAGAAGAAAAAGAAUGAGAGAAAACUGAACUGAGGAAGUGGACAGAGCAGAUGCUGCCAGACCUGUAGAGUUUCUGUAGCAUUUUCUGCGUCAAUAACAAGGAGAGUGGAUUUGUUCACAAAAUGUGGCAACACAUAUAUUUGCUUCUUGCCCAGUGACUCUAUUCGAAACAGGCUCUCUUUAUACAUAUUUUAGGUGCCAAAUUAAAUAAUGCCCUUUACCUUUGGAUUUUAACAAAGUGAUUAACAUAAAAUUAACAGAGAGCACUACAUAUUUGAUUCCAAACAAGCUAAAGAGAGGCACUCCUGUUGUGAACUGGCUUCAUCCCUAUUUUUAAACAGAAAUGAUGUGACUGGGACAGGAAACAAUGCUCUCCACUCAUCCAUAGACAGUGUUCUGCUCAUUUCAUUUUGCAAGAGUGCUGUGAGCUAGAGAAGAGUCUUUGGGUCUGAAAUGUUUUGAAUUGCACAAUAUCAGCGAUUAUAAAAACUGGCAGAAAUUUUGUUUGAUCCUCAGAACAGAAUCAGUGGGCUGAGACCAAAUUUCCCUGUCUAAUGGUUUGUCAGCUGGUUUUUCAAUAGUUUAGUCAACUUUUGUGGUUAGGUACCGGUAAUUACAGGUAAAAUUUGAAGCCCUGUAACAUUUUGAUAAGCUGUCUGAAUUUCUCAUGAAUAACAGAGAGAGGUAUUUAACAUAUUAAAAAGCUGUGCUUCUUCUUAUAAACCUAGUGCUCCUGACUCAGUGUUAAAUUUUGCAUAUUUUAUUGAACUGAGAUUAUGCAUUCUUUAACCUGAGUUUCUGUUGACCUCAUCUGUAUUCUGGCCUAAACUGAGUUUUGCUGUCAUUUCCCAUUUGCUGCUCCUUCAGAUUCUUGCCAAACCUGAACUGUGUGUGCAGUAUGUGGUAGCAAAAGCAAAAAUUUACAUUUAUAUAGCACCUCCUUUGUCGGAAAUGCACUACAGGAGUAUUCAAAGAAUCAUCGAAUCCCUACAGUGUUGAAGCAGGCCAUUCAGCCCAUCAAACUCACAACAAACCUUCAAUGAGCAUCCCACCCAGACCUGCCCCUUGACCCCACCCCUUUAACAUUGUAUUUACCAUGGCUAAUCCACCUAGCCUGUACCACCGUGGACACUUUGGGAAAUUUAGCACGGCCAAUCCACUUAACCUACAAAACUUUAGACUGUGGGAUGAAACCAGAGCACCCGGAGGAAACCCACACAGAGUUGGGGAGAAUGUACAAACUCCACACAGUCGCCCAAGGGUAGACAGACAUAAGAAGAAAUUAUGACUGAAGACCAACCCUGAGUAGGUUUUUGGCAGCAUCUUAAAAGAAAAGAGAGGUGGAUAUGUUUUCAGAGAAAUUUCCAGAAUUUAGGAACAAAACAGUUGAGGGUAUGGUGACCAAAAGUAGGAGAUACAAAUCAAGGAUACUGAGAGACCAGCAUUGGAGAAGUGCAGAUAUCUGAGAGGGUUGUGGGGCUGGAGGGGGUUAUGGAGCUCAGGAGGAUUGAGGCCAUUUAAAGCUAGAAUGAAAAUGUAAAACCAAGGUUUUGCUGAACGAGCAGCCAGUUGCAGGUCAGGGAUUGCAGUGGUGAUACACGAAUGAGAGAUGAUGUAGUGUGAAGUCAGGUUUACAAAACCUGUUCAAAUAGCAUUGUGUUCGAACAGGAGAGCCUGCCUGAAUAUAUCAGUACAGUUACCCACAAAUCUCUCAGUGCACACACAUUUAUUUGAAUAACUGAUUUCCGCAAUGAGAUAAAAAUUUCAGUUCUUUCAGCCGUAAGUCUCACCUUAUAAAAGCAUGCUUUAAGUGAGAACCCCUGUAAUAUUGCCAUCUGUUUUCUUCUUUUUUGUUCCCCUCCUGCUGUGUUUAUUUCUCCUACUCCCAGAACAAUACUUAGAUAAGCUGAAAUAAAAGGACGUUUUUCAAUGGCUACAGUGAAGUAGUUAGAUUUUUAUGGCAACCUUUUGUUAAUUCUGCUGAUUUUUUUUUCAUUUCCGAUUUUAAAAAAUCUACAUUCAAAUUAGCACAUUGAAAUUUGUAUGCAUUUUCAGAAUACUAAUCAAGGGGCAUACCACUACAUUCUCAUUAUACAUUGUUAUUUUUAUUGGUGCCAAAUAUAUGGAGCAAAAUUUAUUGGGCCACACAUUUAAGGUGAGAGAGGGAAAGUUCAAAGGAGAUGUGAGGGACUUUUUUUUAACACAGAGAGUGGUAAGAGUCUCGGAUUUGCUGCCAGGGAUAGUGGUGAAGACAGGUAUGAUAGGGGAGUUGAAGGGACUUUUACAGAAGCACGUGAAAACACAAGAAAUGUAGGGAUUGUGGACGAAGGGCAGGCAGAAGGAAGUAGUUUAAUUUGGUGUCAUGUUUGGCACAACAUCGUUGGCCAAAGGGCCUAUUUCUGUGUUGUGCUGUUCUAUGUUCUAUGAUCGAUGAGUUGAGAUUCCCAACGUGACGUUGUGGGUGUUGAAUUCAGGCUUCCAUGACUAUUGUGCUGUUCAUAACUUCUAUUAUGAUCUAUUGACAGGAAAUGUGUCUGCCUCUGGGAAGAAUGGGUAGUCUGUUUGCUUUAUCCCCCUUCUUCCAGAUAGAAAUACUCACCUCAUGAGAGGCAUUCCUCUUAGCAACACUAACCAAAAAUUGGACUCAUUACAACCAUGGCAGAUGAAGGCAGCGGUAAAGGAGAGGAAAACCAACAGAGAAUGAGAGACAAAAAACAACGGUCAACCUUUGAAAGUAUUAGCAGAGGUGGUUGGGAAUCGAAAGGAAAAUCUGACUGGAGUACUGUUCCUUCAGACUGACAUAUGCCUCCCUCCUGCUGCUUGCAACCAUCAGAGCAGCCAAGGUUCCAACAGUCCUGCUCCUUGCAGUUCUUUCCUGAGGCUUCACAGCUGCAGAGAAUGUGAUGGGAUCCAAGAAUUAAGAAAUCCCUUGACUGAUGAGCCUCCCAUGAUGAUCCCACCUUUCUCGCCAACGCCUGCAUGGAUGAGUCACUGGGAAGAUUCUGCCCAUUUAUUUGCAUGAAGGUCACUUGAUGCACUCAGGUUCUAUGCUUCAAAUUAAAACCAAGAAUGCAGAAGACAACCGGAAAUGGCACAACCCUACUUAACAGACCGGAUCAUAGAAAUACAAAGUGGAGUAGAACAACAUCGCUUCAUUGGAGGUUGCACUGAUGAUGUAACCUAGCAUGGUGAUGAAACAUCUGUACGAUAACCAGCCAGCUCGAUGAGCAAGCCAACAACCUCAUCCACAACCCAGGCUACAGUCUUUAUGCAAAACUCUCAACAAAUGCUCUCUGCACUUGAGUUUGAAGAUUACUUUCCUGGGACAUCAGUAUAGAAGAGAAAUCUCAUUACAUUAACUGCUAAGAAACCAUGAAUAGAAUGUCAAGCAAAAGCAUUAAAAGUCCAAUUGCUGAUAUUGAAAACUACAAGAAACAUACAGGAAGCAGAUACCAGGUGCAGACAAACAUUGGAGGCAAACAAAUGAGACAGACUGAUGAUGAAAUGUGUGUGCAUAAACUUUGCGUGCUGGGGGUUAUAUUUAUAUAAAAUAUAUUGGAUAU